UACGAAGGGGGCUAGCGUUGCUCGGAAUCACUGGGCGUAAAGCGCACGUAGGCGGAUUGCUAAGUCAGGGGUGAAAUCCUGGAGCUCAACUCCAGAACUGCCUUUGAUACUGGCGAUCUCGAGUCCGGGAGAGGUGAGUGGAACUGCGAGUGUAGAGGUGAAAUUCGUAGAUAUUCGCAAGAACACCAGUGGCGAAGGCGGCUCACUGGCCCGGUACUGACGCUGAGGUGGGAAAGCGUGGGGAGCAAACAGG
rnacentral:rRNA from 1 species